UACGAAGGGGGCUAGCGUUGCUCGGAAUCACUGGGCGUAAAGCGCACGUAGGCGGACUCUUAAGUCGGUGGUGAAAUCCUGGAGCUCAACUCCAGAACUGCCUUCGAUACUGGGAGUCUCGAGUCCGGGAGAGGUGAGUGGAACUGCGAGUGUAGAGGUGAAAUUCGUAGAUAUCAAGCGGAACACCGGUGGCGAAGGCGGCCUUCUGGACAGUGACUGACGCUGAGACGCGAAAAGCGUGGGGGAGCAAACAGGG
rnacentral:rRNA from 1 species